GGGAUGGCUCAAUGGUUAAGAGCACUGACUGCUCUUCCAGAGGACCUGGGUUCAAUUCCCAGCGCCCA
rnacentral:tRNA from 1 species